GUAGAGUAACACCAUGGUAAAGCGUAAGUCAUCGGUUCAAAUCCGAUAAAGGGCU
rnacentral:tRNA from 1 species